AUAUCAAUAAGCGGAGGAAAAGAAACCAACAGGGAUUGCCCCAGUAACGGCGAGUGAAGCGGCAACAGCUCAAAUUUGAAAUCUGGCCCCUAGGGUCCGAGUUGUAAUUUGUAGAGGAUGCUUUUGGUGAGGUGCCGCCCGAGUUCCCUGGAACGGGACGCCACAGAGGGUGAGAGCCCCGUCUGGCUGGCCACCGAGCCUCUGUAAAGCUCCUUCGACGAGUCGAGUAGUUUGGGAAUGCUGCUCAAAAUGGGAGGUAUAUGUCUUCUAAAGCUAAAUAUUGGCCAGAGACCGAUAGCGCACAAGUAGAGUGAUCGAAAGAUGAAAAGCACCUUGAAAAGAGGGUUAAAUAGUACGUGAAAUUGUUGAAAGGGAAGCGCUUGUGACCAGACUUGGGCGCGGCGGAUCAUCCGGGGUUCUCUCCGGUGCACUUCGCCGCGUCUAGGCCAGCAUCAGUUCGUCGCGGGGGAAAAAGGCUUCGGGAACGUGGCUCCUCCGGGAGUGUUAUAGCCCGUUGCAUAAUACCCUGCUUUGGACUGAGGACCGCGCAUCUGCAAGGAUGCUGGCGUAAUGGUCACCAGCGA
rnacentral:rRNA from 1 species